UCCUCAUGGAAACGAGUCAGAUUCCUAACCCACUGAGCCACAGGGGGCACUCCAAACCUCGCCGUUUUGAGAUCUCUGCAUGUUUACAGUUUGCCAGGCACGCAGCGGGCGCUAGGAAGUAGCGUGAUGAUGGAUGGUCUUGGUUUGGGUAUUUGGACCACAAUCGUGCUCCAGAGCGGGUUCAAUAGUGUCCCUCCCAGAUUCACAUCCACCUGGAAGCUCAGAUGUGACGUUUUUGGAAAUAAGAUCUCGGCAGAUGGCAUUUGUGAAGAUGAGCUCACUCUGGAGUAAAGGGGCCCUGAAUACAGUCACUGGUGCCCUUACAAGAGGGUAGAUGGGCAGAGACACGAGGAGGAAGGUGACGUGGAAAUGGAGGCAGGACGGCAGGGACGCAGCCACAAGCCCAGGCAUGAGGUCAAGGGCUCCAGCAGCCACUGAAACUGGGGAGAAGCAUCAGGCAGUUUCCCCCUUGGAGCCUCCGGAAGGAACCAAGCCUGCUGAUGCCUUGAUUUGGGGCUUCUGUCCUCCUGAGCGAAAAAAACUAGAGUCUGUGGUUUUGGUCCUUGUGUUUCUUAAACAUGGGAUUCGCCUGGACUCCUGGAAACACACAAUCGGACACAAAGGGAGCCUGGGGAAUUGCCCGAGUUGUAGCUGCUGAUCCAUCGGCCGUGGUGAGUGGAAUCUUCAGUUCCCUGCAAAGCUCUUGCUGAAGUAGAGGGUGUCUGCGGAUGUGGACGGCAUCUGAAAAUCCAGAUUCUCGGGAAAAUGUUGCAGCCCUCGUCUGCAGCAUGUUCCAGGGCUGGGAAUCGCAUCUGUGCCAUGGCAGCUUCCUGAGCUGCUGCAGUGACAACCCCGGAUCCUUAACCCACUGCAUCGCAAAGGAACUCUGCUUUUGCUUAUCUUCUUUUCUUAGCUUAUCU